rnacentral:tRNA from 1 species
CGGGAUGUAGCGCAGCCUGGUAGCGCACUAGCAUGGGGUGCUAGGUGUCGCAGGUUCAAAUCCUGUCAUCCCGA